rnacentral:pre_miRNA from 1 species
GGGGAAGUGCCGGAUCCUGGGCUGUGUCCCCCGGCGCCCUGGGCUCCGGGGCCUGCGCUGCUGGAAUCACGCUCCAGGGCUGUGCAGCUCCCU